ensembl:snoRNA SNORD115 Small nucleolar RNA SNORD115
GGGUCAAUGAUGAGAGCUCAUAUUGUCCCGAAUAGAGAUGAUCACCUCAAAAUCAUUCUCAAUAAGAUUAUGCUGAGUCCC